rnacentral:rRNA from 1 species
CCUACGGGUGGCAGCAGUGAGGAAUAUUGGUCAAUGGACGCAAGUCUGAACCAGCCAUGCCGCGUGCAGGAAGACGGCUCUAUGAGUUGUAAACUGCUGUUGUACGAGGGUAAACGCAGAUACGCGUAUCUGUCUGAAAGUAUAGUACGAAUAAGGAUCGGCGAACUCCGUGACAGCAGCCGCGGUAAUACGGAGGAUUCAAGCGUUAUACGGAUUUAUUGGGUUUAAAGGGUGCGUAGGCGGUCGGAUAAGUUAGAGUUGAAAUCCCGAGGCUCAACUUCGGAAUUGCCUCUGAUACUGUUCGGCUAGGGAGUAGUUGCGGUAGGAGGAAUGUAUGGUGUAGCGGUGAAAUGCAUAGAUAUCACGCAGAACUCCGAUUGCGAAGGCAGCAUACCGGCGCCCGACUGACGCUGAGGCACGAAAGCGUGGGGAUCGAACAGGAUUAGAUACCCUUGUAGUC